GUGCUGAGGGCCUCACUGGUGAUCCUGUUUGGUGAUGGUGUCCCUUCGUGUGUAGUGUCUUAUUCACUCCCCUCCUUUGUUUUGCUUUGCCCUUGUGUGUUUGGAGUGUUAAUUUUGGAUUGUGGUGCUCCCAUUUUAAGUUUAUACUUUCACCCCUCACUCACCUUGAGCACAAAUGCCCCAGCCCUGGAAUACAUGAUAAUUUAUACAAAUAGGAUAACUUUUUUAGAUUUGAAUUGUGCCCAAUAAACUGUUGUAUAUGCUUUUGGAAACACGUCUCUCGCCUGCUCAGUGUAACGAACUUGUGUCGUCCUUUUGUUUAGAUUUAGUAAUUUACCUUAUUCAUAGAUUUCUUUCUUUUCCCUGGGUGAUUUCUCCCAGGGUGGCGUUGCUGGUUUCCUUUAGUUUCUUUCUUUUUCCCCUAGUUAAAAACCAUAGAUUAUUGGGGUAGUUCCUACCCCACCUCACGCUUGCCACAAACUUGGCGUUGCUGGCAGGACUUAUACUGAAAAAAAAAAGGCAGAGACGUGUGUUCCUUUGUUUUUGUUGUUUGUUUUUUGUUUUUUUGAAUAAGACAAAGCAGCAGCAGUCCCCUGGCAACCAUGGAGGAAGAAAUGCAAGAGUUGCGAGCUCUGGUUGCGCAGUUAAAGGCUGACAAUGAGAGGUUGCGUCAAGCUUCGUUGGUGCCGCCCUCUAGUGCUACACCUUCAACCUCCUCAGUACUGCCGACUGCCCUUACUUCUGCCAGUGCCCCUGCAGCCGAGAGGCCCCACAACCUGUCACGCAGGCAUUACAGGAGUACCAUCAGGUGACCACGCAGACCUCCCAGGAGCUGUCUGGGAAGGCAAAGGUCAGAGACGAGACCCCAGUCACGCAACGCUACAGGCGUGUAUCCCCUUCUGAUUAUGAGGCUGUCAAAGACCACAUUAAUCAGCUUCUUUCUGCUCAGGUGCUGAGGGCCUCACUGGUGAUCCUGUUUGGUGAUGGUGUCCCUUCGUGUGUAGUGUCUUAUUCACUCCCCUCCUUUGUUUUGCUUUGCCCUUGUGUGUUUGGAGUGUUAAUUUUGGAUUGUGGUGCUCCCAUUUUAAGUUUAUACUUUCACCCCUCACUCACCUUGAGCACAAAUGCCCCAGCCCUGGAAUACAUGAUAAUUUAUACAAAUAGGAUAACUUUUUUAGAUUUGAAUUGUGCCCAAUAAACUGUUGUAUAUGCU
ensembl:lncRNA